rnacentral:rRNA from 1 species
CAGCUAGUUGGUGAGGUAAUGGCCCACCAAGGCUUUGAUCGGUAGCCGGCCUGAGAGGGCGGACGGCCACACUGGAACUGAGACACGGUCCAGACUCCUACGGGAGGCAGCAGUGGGGAAUCUUGCACAAUGGACGAAAGUCUGAUGCAGCAACGCCGCGUGGGGGAUGAAGCUUCUCGGAGUGUAAACCCCUUUCGACCCGGAAGAAUGCCCGCAAGGGUAUGACGGUACGGGUAUAAGAAGCCCCGGCUAACUACGUGCCAGCAGCCGCGGUAAUACGUAGGGGGCCAGCGUUGCUCGGAAUUACUGGGCGUAAAGGGUCCGUAGGCGGUGUAGCAAGUCGAUAGUGAAAUCUCUGGGCUUAACCCAGAGGCUGCUAACGAAACUGCUGUGCUAGAGUGUGAGAGAGGCGAGUGGAAUUACGGGUGUAGCGGUGAAAUGCGUAGAUAUCCGUAGGAACAUCCGAGGCGAAGGCGGCUCGCUGGAUCACAACUGACGCUGAGGGACGAAAGCUAGGGGAGCAAACAGGAUUAGAUACCCUGGUAGUCCUAGCCCUAAACCAUCAGGACUUGGGGUUUGCCCUGUACGGGGCAAG